UACGUAGGGUGCAAGCGUUGUCCGGAUUUAUUGGGCGUAAAGAGCGUGUAGGCGGCCAGGUAGGUCUGCUGUGAAAACUCGAGGCUCAACCUCGAGAUGUCGGCGGAAACCAUCUGGCUAGAGUCCGGAAGAGGAGAAUGGAAUUCCCGGUGUAGCGGUGAAAUGCGCAGAUAUCGGGAAGAACACCCGUGGCGAAGGCGGUUCUCUGGGACGGUACUGACGCUGAGACGCGAAAGCGUGGGGAGCGAACAGG
rnacentral:rRNA from 1 species